AAAAUGAAAAGUGGAAGCUACUAUUUAGCUUUGUGCAUUCUGAUUGGCAUCUUUAUUAAUUGUUAUGGUACAUUAGUAAGAGAAUGCCACAAAUUGGAAGAAAAUGCCGGACACUGCAAUCACCCAAACAUGAUGUUAGGAAUUUGCCUUCAACCUUGCAAAGGGCCUCAUGCACCUUUUUCCGAUUGCAUAGGAGAUUGUUGCAGGUGCAAAACAGGAUUCAAAAUGGAUUAUGCUACUUGCCAAUGCAAUCCUGAAAAUAAUGAAUGAAAAAUAUAUAUGAAAA